GGUAAGAUGGCCGAGUGGUUAAGGCGAGCGGCUUAAGAGAGUUGUUUCCGAAUUUUACUUAUUCGGUUACGAUUUAAAACUCCGCUUGACGAAAGUCAGCCUGGGUUCGAACCCCAGUCUUACCA
rfam:Aspergillus kawachii IFO 4308 DNA, contig: scaffold00004.